GAUCUGCUCUGGGUCCAGGCUGUCCGUGCUGGAGGGCCCUGGUGGCUGCAGUCCCUGAGCCCGCAGAGACAGAGAGAGCCCCGGCCCGAGUGGCCUUUGGCCCCUUGUCCUGAAUUUGGGAGCGCUGGGGACAGUUUGGGCUUGGCAGCUUCAGAGCUGGGUUGGAGCAGCCCCUGGAAAGAAUCAGGAGAGUGGAGAUGCUGGAAUUGCCUCUCUGGGUGUGUGCUGAGCUCUGGCUGCAGGGGACUGUCAGGCCUUGGUGGCUCUGUUCCCUGAUGUCCAUUCCCUGGCCUGAAUUCCUUGCAGCUCCCAGCUGGGGAAACCUGGGAAAACAUGGCAGGGACAGAGGUGACAUUUGUAGCUGCCAACUUGGGGUAAUUUGGAGGG